rnacentral:rRNA from 1 species
AGGACGAACGCUGGCGGCGUGCUUAACACAUGCAAGUCGAACGGUGAGGACUGGAGCUUGCUCUGGUUUGAUCAGUGGCGAACGGGUGAGUAACACGUGAGUAACCUGCCCCAGACUCUGGGAUAACUUCGGGAAACCGUGGCUAAUACCGGAUAUGACAUCACCUCGCAUGGGGUGGUGUGGAAAGUUUUUCGGUCUGGGAUGGGCUCGCGGCCUAUCAGCUUGUUGGUGGGUGAUGGCCUACCAAGGCGACGAC